AGAGUUUGAUCCUGGCUCAGGAUGAACGCCGGCGGUGUGCCUAAUACAUGCAAGUCGUACGCACCGGCCCAACUGAUUGAUGGUGCUUGCACCUGAUUGACGAUGGAUUACCAGUGAGUGGCGGACGGGUGAGUAACACGUAGGUAACCUGCCCCGGAGCGGGGGAUAACAUUUGGAAACAGAUGCUAAUACCGCAUAACAACAAAAGCCACAUGGCUUUUGUUUGAAAGAUGGCUUUGGCUAUCACUCUGGGAUGGACCUGCGGUGCAUUAGCUAGUUGGUAAGGUAACGGCUUACCAAGGCGAUGAUGCAUAGCCGAGUUGAGAGACUGAUCGGCCACAAUGGAACUGAGACACGGUCCAUACUCCUACGGGAGGCAGCAGUAGGGAAUCUUCCACAAUGGGCGCAAGCCUGAUGGAGCAACACCGCGUGAGUGAAGAAGGGUUUCGGCUCGUAAAGCUCUGUUGUUGGAGAAGAACGUGCGUGAGAGUAACUGUUCACGCAGUGACGGUAUCCAACCAGAAAGUCACGGCUAACUACGUGCCAGCAGCCGCGGUAAUACGUAGGUGGCAAGCGUUAUCCGGAUUUAUUGGGCGUAAAGCGAGCGCAGGCGGUUGCUUAGGUCUGAUGUGAAAGCCUUCGGCUUAACCGAAGAAGUGCAUCGGAAACCGGGCGACUUGAGUGCAGAAGAGGACAGUGGAACUCCAUGUGUAGCGGUGGAAUGCGUAGAUAUAUGGAAGAACACCAGUGGCGAAGGCGGCUGUCUGGUCUGCAACUGACGCUGAGGCUCGAAAGCAUGGGUAGCGAGCAGGAUUAGAUACCCUGGUAGUCCAUGCCGUAAACGAUGAGUGCUAGGUGUUGGAGGGUUUCCGCCCUUCAGUGCCGGAGCUAACGCAUUAAGCACUCCGCCUGGGGAGUACGACCGCAAGGUUGAAACUCAAAGGAAUUGACGGGGGCCCGCACAAGCGGUGGAGCAUGUGGUUUAAUUCGAAGCUACGCGAAGAACCUUACCAGGUCUUGACAUCUUGCGCUAACCUUAGAGAUAAGGCGUUCCCUUCGGGGACGCAAUGACAGGUGGUGCAUGGUCGUCGUCAGCUCGUGUCGUGAGAUGUUGGGUUAAGUCCCGCAACGAGCGCAACCCUUGUUACUAGUUGCCAGUAUUAAGUUGGGCACUCUAGUGAGACUGCCGGUGACAAACCGGAGGAAGGUGGGGACGACGUCAGAUCAUCAUGCCCCUUAUGACCUGGGCUACACACGUGCUACAAUGGACGGUACAACGAGUCGCAAGCUCGCGAGAGUAAGCUAAUCUCUUAAAGCCGUUCUCAGUUCGGACUGUAGGCUGCAACUCGCCUACACGAAGUCGGAAUCGCUAGUAAUCGCGGAUCAGCAUGCCGCGGUGAAUACGUUCCCGGGCCUUGCACACACCGCCCGUCA
rnacentral:rRNA from 1 species